CGAGCGAACGCGGACCAGGCCAGUGGCUUGAUAGAAGAUAACCAGAAGCGUCUGGAAAGGCGCGCCAUAGUGGGUGAUAGCCCCGUACACGAAAAGCCAUUUGAGAUGAAAUCGAGUAGGUCGGGACACGAGAAAUCUUGACUGAAUAUGGGGGGACCAUCCUCCAAGGCUAAAUACUCCUGAUUGACCGAUAGUGAACCAGUACCGUGAGGGAAAGGCGAAAAGAACCCCGGAGAGGGGAGUGAAAUAGAACCUGAAAUCGUAUGCGUACAAGCAGUCGGAGCCCUACGGGGUGACGGCGUACCUUUUGUAUAAUGGGUCAGCGACUUAAUGUAUGUAGCAAGGUUAACCAGAUAGGGGAGCCGUAGGGAAACCGAGUUUUAACCGGCGUUAGUUGCAUGCAUUAGACCCGAAACCGGGCGAUCUAUCCAUGAGCAGGUUGAAGGUUGAGUAACAUCAACUGGAGGACCGAACCCACUGUCGUUGAAAAGCCAGGGGAUGACUUGUGGAUCGGAGUGAAAGGCUAAUCAAGCUCGGAGAUAGCUGGUUCUCCUCGAAA
rnacentral:rRNA from 1 species